UACGGGGGGAGCAAGCGUUGUUCGGAUUUACUGGGCGUAAAGGGCGCGUAGGCGGCCACCGCAAGUCGACUGUGAAAUCUCCGGGCUUAACCCGGAAAGGUCAGCCGAUACUGCGGGGCUAGAGUGCAGAAGGGGCAACUGGAAUUCUCGGUGUAGCGGUGAAAUGCGUAGAUAUCGAGAGGAACACCUGCGGCGAAGGCGGGUUGCUGGGCUGACACUGACGCUGAGGCGCGAAAGCUAGGGUAGCAAACAGG
rnacentral:rRNA from 1 species